AUUGAACGCUGGCGGAAUGCUUUACACAUGCAAGUCGAACGGCAGCACGGGGGCAACCCUGGUGGCGAGUGGCGAACGGGUGAGUAAUACAUCGGAACGUGCCCAGUCGUGGGGGCUAACGUAGCGAAAGUUACGCUAAUCCCGCAUACGCUCUACGGAUGAAAGCGGGGGACCGUUCGGCCUCGCGCGAUUGGCGCGGCCGAUGUCAGAUUAGGUAGUUGGUGAGGUAAAGGCUACCCAAGCCGACGAUCUGUAGCUGGUCUGAGAGGACGACCAGCCACACUGGGACUGAGACACGGCCCAGACUACUACGGGAGGCAGCAGUGGGGAAUUUUGGACAAUGGGCGCAAGCCUGAUCCAGCCAUUCCGCGUGCAGGACGAAGGCCUUCGGGUUGUAAACUGCUUUUGUACGGAACGAAAAGGCUCUGGUUAAUACCUGGGGCUCAUGACGGUACCGUAAGAAUAAGCACCGGCUAACUACGUGCCAGCAGCCGCGGUAA
rnacentral:rRNA from 1 species